GCCUACUUCUUCUCCUCCUAAACUCAUUGAACCCAACUCCUCCAAAUCAAAUCACUUGUUGUACUUGUUUCUAAUCUUUGGCCAUGAAAAGGCAGAAGAUGACCAUUGAAUUCGAUGACAACAACAGCAACAAGAGCAACAACAACCUAUUUGAUCUCCUCUCUGAAGAGAUUGUUUUCGCUAUCCUAGACUUGCAAACUAAACUAAAUGACUUUCUGUCAAGUGGGUUGGUGUUAAGCAGUUUACAAUCUAGAAUCCAAGCACCGCAAAACUCUCAAGCCUCUCCGCCAAGAACACCUCCCAAGAAUUCUCAACAGAUACCCACAUAUCUCCCACCUUGAUCUCUCCCUCUGUCCUCGAAUUAACGAUAACUCUCUGACGGUCAUCUCGAAUGCCUGCAAGGAUUCGCUAAGGUCUAUUGAUCUUUCGCGCUCCAGGUUCUUUUCCUAUAAUGGGUUGAUGAGUUUGGCUUGGAAUUGUAAGAAUUUGGUCGAUGUCGACUUGUCGAACGCGACUGAGCUGAGAGAUGCGGCGGCUGCGGCGGUGGCGGAGGCUAAGAAUCUGGAGAGGCUUUGGUUGGGGAGGUGCAAGUUGAUUACGGAUAUGGGUAUUGGAUGUAUUGCGGUUGGGUGCAAGAAGCUAAGAUUAAUUAGCUUGAAAUGGUGUUUAGGUGUUACUGAUUUGGGAGUUGACUUGAUUGCUGUCAAGUGUAAGGAGAUUCGCAGUUUGGAUCUCUCUUAUUUGCCUAUUACAAAUAAGUGUUUGCCUUCCAUUUUGAAACUCCAAUAUCUUGAAGAUUUGGCUAUGGAAGGAUGCUUUGGCAUUGAUGAUGAUAGCCUUACAGCCCUCAAGCACGGUUGCAAGUCACUGAAGAGACUUGAUAUGUCAAGUUGUCAGAACAUUAGUUAUGUCGGUUUGUCUUCCCUGAUCAGUGGUGCUGGAGGUUUAGAGCAGCUGACCUUAGCAUAUGGCUGUCCUGUCACACCAGCGCUUGCUAAUGGUCUGAAAAAUCUUUCAGCAUUGCAAUCUGUCAAACUAGAUGGUUGCAUGGUUACCUCUGCUGGACUGAAGGCCCUUGGAAAUUGUUUGAUAUCAUUAAGGGAGCUGAGCCUAAGUAAGUGUUUAGGGGUGACAGAUGAAGGUCUCUCCUCUCUUGUAACAAAACAUAGAGAGUUGAGGAAGCUAGACAUCACAUGUUGUCGCAAGAUAACUGAUGUUUCUAUUGCUCACAUUACAAGUUCAUGUGGAAACCUCACUUCUCUCAGAAUGGAGUCAUGCACUUUGGUUUCUAGAGAAGCAUUUGUACUUAUUGGACAACGAUGCCAGUUUCUUGAGGAGCUUGAUUUAACAGAUAACGAGAUAGAUGAUGAAGGUCUGAAGUCAAUUUCUAGAUGUUCCAAACUUUCCAGCUUGAAAUUAGGAAUUUGCCUAAACAUCACUGAUGAGGGACUUGCUUAUAUUGGCAUGCACUGCUCAAAACUCACUGAGCUUGACUUAUACAGGUCUGCUGAAAUAACAGAUGCAGGAAUUUUAGCAAUUGCUUCUGGUUGCCAUGACCUGGAGAUGAUUAAUAUGUCCUACUGCAGAGAUAUUACUGAUAGUUCAUUGAUAUCACUGUCAAAAUGUGUGAGGUUAAAUACCUUUGAAAGUCGAGGAUGUCCUCUGAUCACAUCUUUGGGUAUAGCAGCCAUUGCUGUCGGGUGUAAGCAACUUACUAAGUUAGACAUAAAGAAGUGCCACAAUAUUGAUGAUAAUGGGAUGCUUCCACUUGCUCACUUUUCGCAAAACCUCAGACAGAUUACUUUAUCAUAUAGCUCUGUCACAGAUGUGGGGCUCUUGUCCCUCGCUAGCAUCAGCUGCUUGCAAAACAUGACUGUCUUGCAUUUGAAGGGCUUGACUCCAAGCGGAUUGGCAGCUGCCUUGUUGGCAUGUGGAGGACUAACAAAAGUGAAGCUCCAUGUGGCUUUUAAAUCAUUGCUUCCCCACCCACUAUUUGAGCAUUUGGAAGCACGUGGUUGUGUAUUCGAAUGGAGAGACAAACAGUUCCAGGCUGAAUUGGAUCCCAAGUGCUGGAAACUACAAUUGGAAGAUAUGAUUCCAUAAAGAAUUUGAAGUCUGUAAUUGAAUAGAAGCCAUCACUGCUGCAAGGACUGAAGAAGGCCAAGUCCAUGAAUGUUGAAAUUCCAGGAGGAUGUGAUGUGCA
rnacentral:misc_RNA from 1 species